UACGGAGGGUGCAAGCGUUAUCCGGAUUUACUGGGUUUAAAGGGUGCGUAGGCGGGUAGGUAAGUCAGUGGUGAAAUCUUCGAGCUUAACUCGGAAAUUGCCGUUGAUACUAUUUAUCUUGAAUAUCGUUGAGGUUUGCGGAAUAUGUCAUGUAGCGGUGAAAUGCUUAGAGAUGACAUAGAACACCUAUUGCGAAGGCAGCAGGCUAAACGAACAUUGACGCUGAGGCACGAAAGCGUGGGUAGCGAACAGG
rnacentral:rRNA from 1 species